rnacentral:rRNA from 1 species
UACAGAGGGGGCAAGCGUUAUUCGGAAUUAUUGGGCGUAAAGAGCGUGUAGGCGGCUUGGUAGGUCUCGCGUCAAAACCUGAGGCUCAACCUCAGUUCGCGUGGGAAACCACCUAGCUAGAGUCCGGAAGAGGAGAACGGAAUUCCCAGUGUAGCGGUGAAAUGCGCAGAUAUUGGGAAGAACACCAGUGGCGAAGGCGGUUCUCUGGGACGGUACUGACGCUGAGACGCGAAAGCGUGGGGAGCGAACAGG